rnacentral:rRNA from 1 species
CCAAUAGCGUAUAUUAAAGUUGUUGCAGUUAAAAAGCUCGUAGUUGAAUUUCGGGACUAAUAUGUCGGUCGUACUUUGUACGUACUAGCAUUAUUGGUUUCUCCCUUCUGACGAACCACGAUGUCAUUAAUUUGGUGUCGUGGGAAAUCAGGACUGUUACUUUGAAAAAAUUAGAGUGUUUAAAGCAAGCUCGCGCUUGAAUACAUUAGCAUGGAAUAAU